rnacentral:lncRNA from 1 species
AGCAGGGUCGUGGCUGUUGCUACGGCCUACCAGUGGGCCCAGGCCUGUCGGCCGAAGUUUGGGGAGAGGUGGCUAGCCACCCGGCUGAGAGGAGCUCAGAGUCCGGCUCCCGUAGGAGUCCGGAUGAAGUCUUCUUGCAGCCGGAGUUGGGGACGAGACCUGAUUCCCAUAGGAGUCCGGGUAGAGUCUUCCUGUAAUUUAAGUCAGGUG